rnacentral:rRNA from 1 species
CGACCGCUGGCGGCAUGCCUACCACAUGCACGUCGAACGAGACCUUCGGGUCUAGUGGCGCCCGGGUGCGUAACGCGUGGGAACCUGCCCUUAGGUUCGGAAUAACUCCCCGAAAGGGGUGCUAAUACCGGAUAAUGUCUUCGGACCAAAGAUUUAUCGCCUUUGGAUGGGCCCGCGUUGGAUUAGCUAGUUGGUAGGGUAAAAGCCUACCAAGGCGACGAUCCAUAGCUGGUCUGAGAGGAUGAUCAGCCACACUGGGACUGAGACACGGCCCAGACUCCUACGGGAGGCAGCAGUGGGGAAUAUUGGACAAUGGGCGAAAGCCUGAUCCAGCAAUGCCGCGUGAGUGAUGAAGGCCUUAGGGUUGUAAAGCUCUUUUACCCGGGAUGAUAAUGACAGUACCGGGAGAAUAAGCUCCGGCUAACUCCGUG